UGCACAUGGGAUUGGACUACUGGCGGAUGUUAAUCUGCUAGUAAUGUUCAACCAGUUUAAAAAAAUCUGCCACUACCCCUUUAUUUCCGCCAAUACCCCAAUUAAUUUAACUUAUAAUUAAAAAAAAAUUACAAAAUUAUAAGAAAAUGAAAACAAGCAGAAACUAAAACCACAAUCAUUUACGCAUCUGGGCUUCUUUCAUCUCAUUUCGGAAGAAAGGGUUUUUCUCCAUCUCAAUCGUGUUCACUUGAUCUUGUUUGAUGUUCAAUCGUUCCUCUCUCUUUUGCUCAAUCGUUCUCGUUUUCCCAUCAUCUAGGUUAGCUCAUUUGUUCCUCUUUCUAUUACUCGAGGAAGAAGAUGAAGAGCUCGUGUUGAAGAAGUACUAAGGGCAGAAGAAUGACAGUUUAGAGCUUUGGUGAACCCACACACUUCAUCAAAAUCUUGAGGAUAUAUACUAAUUGAUUUAGCAAUAACCUUAUUGGAGUAGUUGGAAGCAUCAAAUUCAAAUGGAAGUGAGUUUGGAGCUAAAUGUCAAGUGAUUGUGGAAUUGGGGAAAACUUGAAAAGCAUCAAAGUUCAUUGAAUUCUUAUGAGUUCGAAAACGAUUGAGGUAUUAUAGAGUAGAAAUUAUGAUUCAUAAUCGUUUAAAGAGAGUAGAAAUUUAACUAUAAAUUUAAUUAGUAAAUUAUGAGUGGUGUUGGAAUCCUAGAGAAUGCUAGUCUUGUUGAGGUUGGGGUUUUGGAUUCUUAGGGGCGGUUUAAUCUCUAUUGUUUCUGCAGUGUUAGUUUAAUUGUCUGUGGUGCUGUUAUGCUAUAAUUCCUACUAUUGUGGUUUGUUUUCUUUAGCAUGGCAGGUGGUUUUUUAGGUGCAUGCUUGGGAUGCCUUUAUGUCCCUUGAAAUCUCGAGUUCUUUCCACUUUCUGUUGGGUUGUUUGUUCACUUUCUUGAAUAUAGUUAGCGGUUCAAAAAACAAAAAUCAGUAAAGUCUGAAUAGUUGUGUAUCAUAUGCCUCUAAAUAAAGCCUUAAUUUCCCUUGUUGUGUUUGACUGUUAAGCCACGGAUUUAUUCACUGAUAUAAUUGAUAUAGUAGUCCUAUUUUUUGAGGUAGUUGUGUUCUAGUGCACAAGUUUAUGGCUUCAUAAUUUUGGCCUAUAUGUUCUAGUGCACAAGUUUAUGGCUUCAUGAUUUUGGCCUAUAUUUAUCAUGCAUGUACUAGCUGUAGGAUACACAUAGCAUAUAUGAGCUUAAGUCCUAAUUCCAUUACUUAUGUUUUAAGAAUUAUAUGAUGCUAGUUUCAUCUCUACUACUGUGUGCAUCAGAUUGUUGAACUUUAUGGUGUGUGGGAUUAAAGUUAUGAUUUUAAUAUGAUUAUAUACUAUGGUUGACUUAGUGGCGGAUAAAAAGAGAAUGUGUGCCUUAGUGGCGGAGUAAAUAAACUAUGUUUGCCUUAGUGGCGGAUUAAAUAAAUUAUGUUUGCUUUAGUGGCGGUUAAAAAUUGCGUGUGCCUUAGUGGCGGGUUAAAUAAUUAUGUGUGCCUUAGUGGCGGGUUAAAUAAUUAUGUUUGGAAAGAAAAAAAAAAGGGGGCAGUAUUUUUCUUAUAAGAAAUAUAUGAAAUGUUUUGACCAAAAAUACAGGAUGUUACAAAAAGCAUCAAAGUUCAUUGAAUUCUUAUGCGUUCGUAAACGAUUGAGGUUGGCUCUCUCUCUCCUAGGCUUGAAUUUAAUUAGUUUGGCUUGAAAUAUUUAUGUGAGAUCAAUGUGUAUUGUGAUUAGUAUGAGAAAAUUAGGUUUUAAUGAAAAUUCUCAUGUCAAAUUAGCUUAAUUCAAAAACUAGCUUAUUUGUGUAGCAGCAAGUUUUCAUUACAUAGAAAUGAUGAUUAUGAAUUUGUGCCCGCCCAUUAUAUAGGAGUUAGUAUUAUAAGUAGUCAUGCUAACCUUUUUACACACACAAAUAGUAUGAGAACAUAACUGAUGGCCUUCAUAAUCUCUAUGUACAUUUGGGUUGUUGGUCAAAUUAAGCGACCUCGAAGAAACUAAGACAUGGUUUUUGGUUAAUUUGAAAUGCUAUGAUUUGGGUAAUUUGGAAGGGGAGGAAUGAUAAUAUUUUCAAUAAUGGAGUGAUGAGGUAGAUGAAUUGGUGCAUAAUAUUUUGGUGCUUUCGUGGUAUUUGAGCAUGAGUUGGUUAGCAAUUGCCUCAUGUUUGUUCUAUGUGUGGUGUUAGAAUCCUCGGGAUUGUUUAGCUAGGUAGGAGGGAGGGUGGCUGGCUGACUAUUGGCACUUACGAUAGUUUUUUUCGGGUGCUGUUAUGAUGUAACUGCUGCCCUGUUCACAGCUGCAGAUGCCUUUACUGCUUUUGGGUGGUUUUUUUGUCUUUGCUAGCUGUCUGUUGUUCUUGUUAUUCAGGUGGUUUAGCUUUCUAUGUAUAGCUUAAAAGACUGCUUGUGGGUUAAUGAAAGUAAAGACAACCUCAUCAUAACCAAGUACAUGUUCUCAUGCAAAAAUUUAUUUGUUUUUUAUCGUCUAUAAUUGUUUUUCUCUUCAACAUAAUUAAGAAACUUAUUGUUAUAACGUAUAGACUCUGUAGAGUGAUUGCGAAUUACAUGAUUCUGAAACCAGUUGUAACAAGCACCUUGUUGAUGUACCAUUCUCCUCCAUUGGCAAGUUCCACUAAUAGUAGUUGAAGGCACCUAUUUGGUUUAUCAUAAUCUAUAAGUGAUAGUAUUGUUGGUAUUUUCUUGGUCCAAUGUAAAAAGACUGUUCGUUUGUAGUCAUAGAUGGUCUUCUGAAAACCGGUGCAAUAAAAAACACUAUAUUACGCAAAUACAACCAUUGACAACAUGCUGCUGCAUAUGAUGUGCCUGUGUACACAAAAUAGUUUGAUACUUGUGAAAGCUAAUAAUGAUUUGGUACAUUUCACCUCUUAUUCUAAAUCCUAUUGAUUGAAUCAUGAAACUUAUUUUAGUUUAAAAAAUGAAGAUGGAUGACACAUUCAAAGGCAUAACAUCUACCAGACAUGCUCACGCUUGUUGCUUAUAAUGGUAAGAUUUACCCUCUGCAGCAACUAUGGUUUACUAAUGUAAGAUUUACCUUGUGCAACAACCAUGGUUACAUGAAUAGUUGGUUCCUAGAUGAUUGUUUUAAGAUGUAAUUGUGUUAGCUGUGGGGAGUUUCUACUGGAUCUCCUGGCUAUGUUCUUAGCUUUCUGUUUGGUCUUGGACGUUACGCGUAUGGGCGGCGCUUUUGUAUUGUUCUCAAUGCUAGCUUUUGCACGUCUUGUGCAGGCUUGGUAUCUAAUAAAUUUGUUGAUUUACACAAAAA